GAUGAAGAACGUAGCGAAAUGCGAUAAGUAAUGUGAAUUGCAGAAUUCAGUGAAUCAUCGAAUCUUUGAACGCACAUUGCGCCCGCCAGUAUUCUGGCGGGCAUGCCUGUUCGAGCGUCAUUUCAACCCUCAAGCCCAGCUUGGUGUUGGGGAUCGGCACAGGCGCCCUCGGGCGCCCGCCGUCCCCUAAAUCUAGUGGCGGUCCCGCUGCAGCCUCCUCUGCGUAGUAGUUUUCUCCUCGCAAGGGCAGCUCGGUGGCGACUUCGCCGUAAAACCCCCAACUUCUGAAAGGUUGACCUCGAAUCAGGUAGGAAUACCCGCUGAACUUAAGCAUAUCAAUAAGCGGAGGA
rnacentral:misc_RNA from 1 species